ACGGGUGAGUAAAGCGUAAGAACUUGCCUUGGAGAGGGGGAUAACCCGGGGAAACUCGGGCUAAUACCGCAUAAAGUGGAGACACCAAAGUGGGGGACCUUCGGGCCUCAUGCUCUGAGAGAGGCUUACGUCGGAUUAGCUAGUUGGUUAGGUAAAAGCUGACCAAGGCGAUGAUCCGUAGCUGGUCUGAGAGGACGAUCAGCCACACUGGGACUGAGACACGGCCCAGACUCCUACGGGAGGCAGCAGUGGGGAAUUUUGGACAAUGGGGGCAACCCUGAUCCAGCGAUGCCGCGUGAGUGAAGAAGGCCUGCGGGUUGUAAAGCUCUUUCGGUGGGGAGGAAGGCUCUUGAGUGAAUAGCUUAAGAGAUUGACGUUACCCACAAAAGAAGCACCGGCUAACUCUGUGCCAGCAGCCGCGGUAAUACAGAGGGUGCGAGCGUUAAUCGGAAUUACUGGGCGUAAAGGGCGUGUAGGUGGUUAUGUAAGUUUGAUGUGAAAGCCCCGGGCUUAACCUGGGAACUGCGUUGAAGACUGCAAGACUAGAGUUGGACAGAGGGUGGUGGAAUUUCCGGU
rnacentral:rRNA from 1 species